rnacentral:rRNA from 1 species
UACGGAGGGUGCGAGCGUUGUCCGGAAUCAUUGGGCGUAAAGGGCGCGUAGGCGGCUUCUCAAGCGUGCGGUGAAAGUCAGGGGCUCAACCCCUGAUCGGCCGUGCGAACUGGGGGGCUGGAGCACUGUAGAGGCAGGCGGAAUUCCGGGUGUAGCGGUGGAAUGCGUAAAGAUCCGGAAGAACACCGGUGGCGAAGGCGGCCUGCUGGGCAGUGGCUGACGCUGAGGCGCGACAGCGUGGGGAGCAAACAGG